rnacentral:rRNA from 1 species
ACGAAGUUAGCCGGGGCUUCUUAUCCAGGUACCGUCAUUAUCGUCCCUGGCGAAAGAGCUUUACAACCCUAGGGCCUUCAUCACUCACGCGGCAUGGCUGGAUCAGGCUUGCGCCCAUUGUCCAAUAUUCCCC